rnacentral:rRNA from 1 species
CAGCCGCCACGGUAAUACGGAGGGUGCAAGCGUUGUCCGGAUUUAUUGGGUUUAAAGGGUGCGUAGGCGGCCUAAUAAGUCAGUGGUGAAAGCCUCCAGCUUAACUGGAGAACUGCCAUUGAUACUGUUAGGCUUGAGUAUACUUGAGGUAGGCGGAAUUGACAGUGUAGCGGUGAAAUGCAUAGAUAUUGUCAAGAACACCAAUUGCGAAGGCAGCUUACUAAAUUAUAACUGACGCUGAGGCACGAAAGUGUGGGUAUCAAACAGGAUUAGAUACCCGGGUAGUCCCUGUCUCUUAUAC